CUCCGGGCAUGAGAUAGCGCGUCUGAACUGCAACGCCCCCAUAGCCCAAUUGGCAGAGGCAGCGGACUUAAAAU
rnacentral:tRNA from 1 species